ACGUAGGGGGCGAGCGUUGUCCGGAUUCAUUGGGCGUAAAGGGCGCGUAGGCGGCCCGGAAGGCCGGGGGUGAAAGCGCGGGGCCCAACCCCGCAAGCGCCCCCGGGACCCCCGGGCUCGGGUCCCGCAGGGGGUGGCGGAACUCCCGGUGUAGCGGUGGAAUGCGCAGAUAUCGGGAGGAACACCGGUGGCGAAGGCGGCCACCUGGGCGGCGACCGACGCUGAGGCGCGAGAGCCGGGGGAGCGAACAG
rnacentral:rRNA from 1 species